rnacentral:tRNA from 1 species
GCCGAAGUGGCGGAACAGGUAGACGCACUGGUCUCAAAAACCAGCGGGGUUUAACCCCAUACCGGUUCAAAUCCGGUCUUCGGCA